GCCGGGGUAGCCUAGCCUGGCUAAGGCGUCGGAUUCGAGAUCCGAUGGGCGCAAGCCCGCCUGGGUUCAAAUCCCAGCCCCGGCGCCA
rnacentral:tRNA from 1 species